rnacentral:lncRNA from 1 species
UUUGACAUACUUAGCUAUUUAGAUCUUUAUGUAUAAAAUUUUCAAUAUCCUUGACUUAAAGCAAAAAAAAAAAAGAAUAAUAAUAAUACUCCUCUGAUAUGAAUGUUAAGAGUGAAAAUUGAGGUUGUACACUGGACCGAGUAACCGGAAUAUGCUGCUUAGGUUGUCAUCACAUCUCGCGUAAAAAUGUUCGUGUGGCUGUCCAAUUUCUUUGCACUCAC